GUGAGGAGUCAGGGAGUCAAACACACAAUUUUCAAUGUUCAGUGUAAACUGGUCUCUGCAGAACUUCCAAGAGGUUAGGAGACAGCCCAAGCUCAGAAAGAUGGGCUGGCUUUGGGUGAAGUGCCUAACUGGUCCAAGUAGUGUAAUCAGAGAAAACCCCAUGCUAAUACUGAGAUAAAUCGAUUCAGGACAUAAUUUAAAGCAGUAGGCGAUCAGUAGUUAUCCAUCUAUUCCUCUGGGCCUCAAAGAGAGGCAAUUCUUUCUUUAACUAGGAAGGACUGUGACCUCUUCAAAAAGGGGGACCUGAAUGUAAACACCUACAGGUUCCCAAAGGAUUUUUGAUUUUUUUUAUGGAAAGAUUUGGGGAGGUGGUCCUGGUUAUAUCGUCUAUGUAUUGAAAGCAGGAUCUCUGAUAUAAAAAUUAUAGCCAAAGGUUUUAUAAUUGAAGAGACUGAUCAAGAGAAAUCACAACUACACACACACACACACACACACACACACAUCUACAUGGAUGUGUAUUAUGUAUCAUGGAGUGAGGGUCCUGAAGGGAGGAAAACAUAAAGACAGUCUUAAUUUCAGCAUCAUAAAUACAAAAGUAGCAAGAGUCUCUUCUAAGGCGUUAAGAAGAAAUGAGAUCGGGGUUUUCUGGCUUCCAGCACAUUAGGUAUCAGUGGCCCUUCUGUGCUUAAAAGGGAAGUCAUUCAUCAAACAUCUGGAACUGGAAUCCUCAAGGAAGAUGCUGUCUCUGCAACACAGUGAUGAUGUUACUGCCUUCUAGUACUUGCUGCCUCAAACAAAACUCCAAUUGACUUCAAGGCCCCACAGUUUUGGAUCAUCUCAAACCUACUGCUAUUCAG